CUCCUACGGGAGGCAGCAGUGGGGAAUAUUGGACAAUGGGGGCAACCCUGAUCCAGCCAUGCCGCGUGUGUGAAGAAGGCCUUUUGGUUGUAAAGCACUUUAAGCAGGGAGGAGAGGCUAAUGGUUAAUACCCAUUAGAUUAGACGUUACCUGCAGAAUAAGCACCGGCUAACUCUGUGCCAGCAGCCGCGGUAAUACAGAGGGUGCGAGCGUUAAUCGGAAUUACUGGGCGUAAAGCGAGUGUAGGUGGCUCAUUAAGUCACAUGUGAAAUCCCCGGGCUUAACCUGGGAACUGCAUGUGAUACUGGUGGUGCUAGAAUAUGUGAGAGGGAAGUAGAAUUCCAGGUGUAGCGGUGAAAUGCGUAGAGAUCUGGAGGAAUACCGAUGGCGAAGGCAGCUUCCUGGCAUAAUAUUGACACUGAGAUUCGAAAGCGUGGGUAGCAAACAGGAUUAGAUACCCUGGUAGUCCACGCCGUAAACGAUGUCUACUAGCCGUUGGGGUCCUUGAGACUUUAGUGGCGCAGUUAACGCGAUAAGUAGACCGCCUGGGGAGUACGGCCGCAAGGUUAAAACUCAAAUGAAUUGACGGGGGCCCGCACAAGCGGUGGAGCAUGUGGUUUAAUUCGAUGCAACGCGAAGAACCUUACCUGGUCUUGACAUAGUGAGAAUCCUGCAGAGAUGCGGGAGUGCCUUCGGGAAUUCACAUACAGGUGCUGCAUGGCUGUCGUCGGCUCGUGUUGUGAAAUGUUGGGUUAAGUCCCGCAACGAGCGCAACCCUUAUCCUUUGUUGCCAGCGGUUAGGCCGGGAACUCAAAGGAGACUGCCAGUGAUAAACUGGAGGAAGGUGGGGAUGACGUCAAGUCAUCAUGGCCCUUACGAGUAGGGCUACACACGUGCUACAAUGGCGCAUACAAAGAGAAGCGACCUCGCGAGAGCAAGCGGACCUCAUAAAGUGCGUCGUAGUCCGGAUUGGAGUCUGCAACUCGACUCCAUGAAGUCGGAAUCGCUAGUAAUCGUAGAUCAGAAUGCUACGGUGAAUACGUUCCCGGGCCUUGUACACACCGCCCGU
rnacentral:rRNA from 1 species